rnacentral:rRNA from 1 species
CCCUUAGAUGUCCUGGGCCGCACGCGCGCUACACUGAACGGAUCAGCGCGUUUUCCCUUCCCGAGAGGGACGGGUAACCUGCUGAACCCCGUUCGUGGUAGGGACCGGGGCUUGCAAUUAUUCCCCGUGAACCAGGAAUGCCCAGUAAGUGCAAGUCAUAAGCUUGCGUUGAUUACGUCCCUGCCCUUUGUACACACCGCCCGUCGCUACUACCGAUUGAACGUUUUAGUGAGGUACUCGGACUGAGCCUCAGAAGAUUCACGUCUUUUGUGCUGCUCGGGAAGAUUCCCAAACUUGAGCGUUUAGAGGAAGUAAAAGUCGUAACA